rnacentral:rRNA from 1 species
GGGGAAUUUUCCGCAAUGGGCGAAAGCCUGACGGAGCAAUACCGCGUGAGGGAUGACGGCCUAUGGGUUGUAAACCUCUUUUUUCAGGGUAGGAAUCAAUGACGUGUACCUGAAGAAUAAGCAUCGGCUAACUCCGUGCCAGCAGCCGCGGUAAGACGGAGGAUGCAAGUGUUAUCCGGAAUCACUGGGCGUAAAGCGUCUGUAGGUGGUUAAAUAAGUCAACUGUUAAAUCUUGAGGCUCAACCUCAAAAUCGCAGUCGAAACUGUUAGACUAGAGUAUAGUAGGGGUAAAGGGAAUUUCCAGUGGAGCGGUG